UCGUCCUUUUGUCUUUUAUUUAAUGCAUUGGGCAUUUGUUUCUUUAUGGGGCCUGUGUUUAUUUUUUCUUUUCUGUUUUUUCUCGUUUGGUGGAGUCUGCUUUGGAUAGUUCUUUUAGUAAAUGGCAUUACGUAAUUAAUUAUAAUCAUUAUGUAAUUAGUUAAUUUGUUACAAUUUCAGUUAGCUAGUCAUAGCUGGUUAUAUGUUCAUUCUUCUAAACUUCAUUUAUUGGUGAAUAACUUUUCAGUAAAUUCCUUUUUUCAAGAGAGCAUAUUGGCAUUGGUAGGAAUGGUUAAAAUAUAUC
rnacentral:lncRNA from 1 species